rnacentral:rRNA from 1 species
AUUGAACGCUGGCGGCAGGCCUAACACAUGCAAGUCGAGCGGUAGAGAGGUGCUUGCACCUCUUGAGAGCGGCGGACGGGUGAGUAAUGCCUAGGAACCUGCCUGGUAGUGGGGGAUAACGCUCGGAAACGGACGCUAAUACCGCAUACGUCCUACGGGAGAAAGCAGGGGACCUUCGGGCCUUGAGCUAUCAGAUGAGCCUAGGGCGGAUUAGCUAGUUGGUGAGGUAAUGGCUCACCAAGGCGACGAUCCGUAACUGGUCUGAGAGGAUGAUCAGUCACACUGGAACUGAGACACGGUCCAGACUCCUACGGGAGGCAGCAGUGGGGAAUAUUGGACAAUGGGCGAAAGCCUGAUCCAGCCAUGCCGCGUGUGUGAAGAAGGUCUUCGGAUUGUAAAGCACUUUAAGUUGGGAGGAAGGGUCGUUACCUAAUACGUGACGAUUUUGACGUUACCGACAGAAUAAGCACCGGCUAACUCCGUGCCAGCCGCCGCGGUAAAAC